UCCUACGGGAGGCAGCAGUGGGGAAUAUUGCACAAUGGGCGCAAGCCUGAUGCAGCCAUGCCGCGUGUGUGAAGAAGGCCUUCGGGUUGUAAAGCACUUUCAGCGGGGAGGAAGGCGGUGAGGUUAAUAACCUCAUCGAUUGACGUUACCCGCAGAAGAAGCACCGGCUAACUCCGUGCCAGCAGCCGCGGUAAUACGGAGGGUGCAAGCGUUAAUCGGAAUUACUGGGCGUAAAGCGCACGCAGGCGGUCUGUCAAGUCGGAUGUGAAAUCCCCGGGCUCAACCUGGGAAC
rnacentral:rRNA from 1 species